rnacentral:rRNA from 1 species
AUUGAACGCUGGCGGCAGGCUUAACACAUGCAAGUCGAGCGAGCGGCGGACGGGUGAGUAAUGUCUGGGAAACUGCCUGAUGGAGGGGGAUAACUACUGGAAACGGUAGCUAAUACCGCAUACCAUCAGAUGUGCCCAGAUGGGAUUAGCUAUUUGGUGGGGUAAUGGAUCACCUAGGCAACGAUCCCUAGCUGGUCUUAGAGGAUGACAAGCCACCCUGGAACGGAGACACGGUCCAGACUCAUACGGGAGGCAGCAGUGGGGAAUAGUGCACAAUGGGCGCAAGCAUGAUGCAGCCAGGCCGCGUGUGUGAAGAGGGCCUUCGGGUUGGAAAGCAAUUUCAGCGAGGAGGCGUUACUCGCAGAAGAAGCACCGGCUAACUCCGUGCCAGCAGCCGCGGUAAUUC